rnacentral:SRP_RNA from 1 species
GCCGGGCGUGGUGGCGGGCGCCUGUAAUCCUAGCUACUGGGGAGGCUGAGGCAGAAGAAUCGCUUGAACCCAGGAGGUGGAGAUUGCAGUGAGCCAAGAUCAUGCCAUUGCACUCCAUUCUGGGCAACAGAGUGAGACUCUGUCUCAA